AAUGACUCUUGACACAAAAAAGCUCCGAGCUGAGGGCUAAUUGAGAGACGAGACACUCUCACUUCUCUAAAGCUAUCAGGAACACCGGUAUCACAUGCCACUGAAGGAAAAACAGGCAGCGCAAAAGAGAAAAAGCCAAAGUUAUCAAAAAGCAAUGAGAAGACAACAACAUAGAAAGUAACAAUGGAAACCAAGGACACAAAUCCUAGAGGGAAAAUUUGAAUGACCCAAACUGUAAGCUCAAGAUAACAACAUGUUUUUGUUCAUUUUCAAUGUCACUGAGCCUCUUCAGUUCUAAAGACAAUGUAUCCAGAGAGGAUGAGCAUCUAAAAAAAGGCAAACGCAUUUUGAAUGAAGGAAAGGACUUAAUCAGACCAAAAUGCCUCACUGAGCCAUCGGAUUUGAUCAAAAACAUCUUAAUUUGUAUUCUGAAGAUGAACGAAGGUCUUAUGGGUGUGGAACGACAUGAGGUGCUUCCUACAACAAGGCAUGUGAUAAUCACUCCCUUUGACUUUCCUAUUCCUGUUGCCUCUUUCUUGUGGAGAAAAACAGAGGUGUCAGCCACUGCUGGAGCCAGGUGUUAUCUCCAGAGCCAUUAGACAGGGACAGACGCUGCACUGGCAUUCUUCAGUGUUUGGGGAAGAAGAUAAAUGGAGUUCUUCACAGCUUCCAUGCAUAAGAUGGGACAUGCACCUUCAUCUUGCUCUAAAUAAGAUUUGUGGCACCACAACAGCAAGAGCGCACCGGGAGACAGAUAGAGUCCAGAGGAGAAAGGAGGAAAAAAAACCCUCUACAUCUCGGGGAAAGGAAGAGGGGGUGUUACUGUACAGUAUGUCAUAUACAGACACAGAGUGAAGAAAACCAUGUAAGUGUACUGACGGGCACUGAAUAUUCCUGUUGAAUGCUUUUAAACCACCUCUAAAAUGUGGAAACAUCUAAAUUGCAGCUAUAUUUGACUAAAAAAAAAAAAAUGAUUUGUAACAAUUAUACCAGUCUUUACUGCUACUUUUGAACAACUUAACACAUGCCUACUGAAUAAAAGUAUUAAUGUUUAAAAAAAAUUGCCAUUUGUAUUUAU